GGAAUAUUGGACAAUGGGUGCGAGCCUGAUCCAGCCAUGCCGCGUGCAGGAAGAAGGCGUUAUGCGUUGUAAACUGCUUUUGCCAGGGGAUAAAAUAACUGUGCGCAGUUGAUUGAAGGUACCUGGUGAAUAAGCCACGGCUAACUACGUGCCAGCAGCCGCGGUAAUACGUAGGUGGCAAGCGUUGUCCGGAUUUAUUGGGUUUAAAGGGUGCGUAGGCGGCCCUGUAAGUCAGUGGUGAAAUAUCUCAGCUUAACUGAGAGGGUGCCAUUGAUACUGCGGGGCUUGAGUACAGAUGAGGUAGGCGGAAUUGACGGUGUAGCGUGAAUAGCGAUAGAUAUCGUCAAGAACGACCGACUAGCGAAGGACAGCGUUACCACGAUGUAACUGACGCGUAGAGAG
rnacentral:rRNA from 1 species